UCGAACGAAUAAAGGUGAUUUCUAAAAUAAAGAAUAUUAGAAAUGAACUGGAUACUGCCCAGGAUGUAGAUAACAUCGGACAGAUAACUAAACUGGUAAUCAGGAAUACAAGAAAACUGCCAGAAGAUGGACAAAAACCAUGAUCUAACAGAUUGUACCUUUUUUUUAUUUUAUGUGAUGUUCGUAUAUUUGUCUGUGUUACAUAUUUUUUAUUUAUGUAUAUUUAUGUAGAAUUACGUAUCAAUUAAACGUAGUAUACUAUUUCAGCUGCAUCUGAUGAAAUGUUCAUGUCCUCAGUAUUUAUCAACAAUUACAAGAUGCUUGAGAUGAAGCACACAACUCUUCGAGAACUGUUUGCAACGAGGAAACUUUCUAUUCAGGAGAGUAUUCGUCUGGUCUCACAACUUGCAGCUGGAAUAGCAUACUUACAUCAUCGUUAUUUGACAUUUUGCCAACCAGUUUCUUUGGAUACUUUAGUUGUCGUCAUGGAUGGAAAGACCAUCGAACGAAUAAAGGUGAUUUCUAAAAUAAAGAAUAUUAGAAAUGAACUGGAUACUACCCAGGAUGUAGAUAACAUCGGACAGAUAACUAAAGUGGUAAUCAGGAAUACAAGAAAACUGCCAGAAGAUGGACAUAAACCAUGAUCUAACAGAGUGUACAUUUUUUGAUAUUAUGUGUUGUUCGUAUAUUUGUUUGUGUAACAUCUUUUUAUUUAUGUAUAUGUAUGUAAAGUUACGUAUAGAUUAAACGUAGUAUACUUUUUCAGCUGCAUCUGAUGAAAUGUUCAUGUCCUCAGUAUUUAUCAACAAUUACAAGAUGAUUCAGAUGAAGCACACAACUCUUCGAGAACUGUUUGCAACGAGGAAACUUACCAUUCGGGCGAGUAUUCGUCUGGUCUCACAACUUGCAGCUGGAAAAGCAUACUUUAUACAUAAUCGUUAUUUGACACUUUGGCAACCAGUUCCUUUGGAUACUUUAGUUGUCGUCAUGGAUGGAAAGACCAUUGAACGAAUAAAGGUGAUUUCUGAAAUAAAGAAUAUUAGAAAUGAACUGGAUAGAUGUAGAUAACAUCGGACAGAUAACUAAACUGGUAAUCAGGAAUACAAGAAAACUGCCAGAAGAUGGACAUAAACCAUGAUCUAACAGAUUGUACAUUUUUUUUAUUGUAUGUGAUGUUCGUUUAUUUGUUUGUGUAACAUCUUUUAAAUUUAUGUAAAUGAUAAUAAAAAUUGAUCCAACCAAAUACACUGAUCAUGCAAACACUGAAGACAAUAAAAUAAACACAGCAGGAAUUUAACC